ACUUGAGGUCAGGAGUUCAAGACCAGCCUGGCCAACAUGGCAAAACCCCGUCUGUACUAAAAAAUACAAAAAUUAGCCGGGUGUGGUGGUGGGAGCCUGUAAUCCCAGCUACUCGGGAGUCUGAGGCAGGGAGAAUUGCUUGAACCCAGGAGGCAGAGGUUGCAGUGAGCCGGAGUUGUGCCACAGCACUCCAGCCUGGGUGACAGAGCAAGACUCUGUCUCAAAAAAAAAAAAAAAUUAAAUUAAAUUAAAUAUUUUUAUCUUAUUAAAAUAAGAUAAAAAUAAAGAAUGCAACUUUUUAUCCUUAUUAAUAUACAAGUUCAUAUAGAUAUGAAUGGCCAUAAGAAGCAAAGCAGACCUGGGGUGCUAAGAGUGUCUGGCCGCAACAUGUGUUACAGCAGUUUUGAUGUAAUGGAGGGAAAGUUUAAUCUGACACAUUCAGUCAACCAGUUCCUUGUGUCAGAAGAGUAAAACUGCUUAAGAGGAAGCUGUUUCCUCAGAACAAGAGAUGGAUCCAAAAAUAUUAAAUAAAAAGAAAUGAGAAAAAAAUAAGUGGAACAAAACCAAUUGAGUUAGUUUUGCGCAGCGUUUGCACUGUUGUGUACGUGUGCCCAUGUGAGCUACAAGGUAAGAAUUGUGUGAUUGGGUGAUUCUGCCUAAGAGCUCAAUGCUCUUGUGUUUGCCUUUGAAUUGGCAUUGUGCAACAUAAAAAUGACUGGUGAUACUCAAGUUCAUAAUAAGAAAUUUUUAUUUUCAUUUACUUAAAUUGACACAUUGUGAAAAGCAUCAUGACAAGUACAGAGAGACUGUGGAAGAGAAAAAUACUUUUUUAUUCUACUACCUUUACCAGUACUUUUUUCCCAUUUGUUGAACAAGGUGCCCUGAAAAUGGCAUAGCUAGCUCUGGGGGCACCCUGUGGAGAUGGGAGAUGCUGGUGAAGGAAGUGCCCCUCUGUGCUGUCAAGGAAGAAGGGACUAGGUGUGGGGUGGGGGGGCAGGGGGAGGGCGCUCACAGUGUGAGUCUGUGGCCAGGGAGAAGGGCCUGGGUUGAGGCCCACUGCUUUGCAGAGGGGCUAUAAGGGCCGUGAUGGAGCCAUGUCAUGCCAUGGGCACAUACAGAAGGCACAUUACAGCUCCGCCGAAGUAGCAGGACAUUCUGGGCUGGAACAUCCCGAUGUUCAGUAGCAGAGGGUCCCAGGGGAAGCUUUAAGGGACUCUGUGUCCAAAGCCCAGAGGCCAUAGGCCUGCAAUGAGGGUCCCCAGCUGGACAGGAGUGCAGCCUGGACCUGGGACUAAGCACCAGCUGUCAGCCAGCACAUGGUCACCCCGGGGUCUUCAAGGCAGAUGUCCA
rnacentral:lncRNA from 1 species